rnacentral:tRNA from 1 species
CAAAGUAUAGCUAAAAUAGAAUAGCAUCUCACUUACAAUGAGAAGGUUUAAUCGUUCGAGUCGGUUUACUUUGG